rnacentral:rRNA from 1 species
GUGGGGAAUAUUGGACAAUGGGGGGAACCCUGAUCCAGCCAUGCCGCGUGUGUGAAGAAGGCCUUCGGGUUGUAAACUGCUUUUGUACGGAACGAAACGGUCCGGGUUAAUACCCUGGGCUAAUGACGGUACCGUAAGAAUAAGCACCGGCUAACUACGUGCCAGCAGCCGCGGUAAUACGUAGGGUGCAAGCGUUAAUCGGAAUUACUGGGCGUAAAGCGUUCGCAGGCGGUUUUGUAAGACAGGCGUGAAAUCCCCGGGCUCAACCUGGGAAUUGCGCUUGUGACUGCAAGGCUGGAGUGCGGCAGAGGGGGAUGGAAUUCCGCGUGUAGCAGUGAAAUGCGUAGAUAUGCGGAGGAACACCGAUGGCGAAGGCAAUCCCCUGGGCCUGCACUGACGCUCAUGCACGAAAGCGUGGGGAGCAAACAGGAUUAGAUACCCCAGUAGUCC